UGUUAUUUUCGACAGUUUUGCAGCAGUGAUGGAACGGUUGGUGGUAAAUUCCUUUAGGUGGCAGCAGGACUGCGCUGUACACAUUCUUUUCCAUGCUGGCUUUAGAGGCAGAUAGACGUAAUGGUAGUUUUCUGUAAAACAAGGAAAAUGGGAUCCAAACCGGGGACUUUCCAGCGUAUUGUCUGAAAUGUAUACUUUGUGUAAUAGCGGACCGGACUGUGUGAGGUUAAUCGGCUUUGAAGGGGAAAGCUGUGUCUACAGCUCAGUGCUGAAUUCUGCCGCCGGGAGUGACGUGGCCGCGGACUGUCAUCGAGGGUUCAUUGUUCUGGUGCAGCAGUUGGAUCGCCGAUCUUCUUUGUGGUGCAGGAGUUGGAUCGCCGACCUUCUUUGUGGUGCAGGAGUUGGAUCGCCGACUUUCUUUCUGAAUUCACCCGCAUCACCACUGUUCCCCUCCUGUCCAGAUUCAUGUCCAAACUGGAUCAUUACUCGAACCAGUUGAUGAAGGUGUUUAGAAAAAAGGGUGGAGCAGCAAGACACAAAAUAAGCAUGAUCAUGGCAGCCAUGGACAAGCUCUGCUUCAGUCUCCAGCCAGUUGUUCCUACCUCAUCCCCAUUUGCCCCUGGAUUACCUCAGCCUGUUUUCCUCUCUGUAUUCAGUUCCCCAUCUAAAUCCUACUGUUGAAACAUGAAGAGAGUGUGUCCUCAAAGCACUUUGUGUGUACCUCAGUGAAAAUCCUGAAAAGUUCAUAAAGGACUAUGUGGUUGUUGAACCUGGUGCAAUGACAGCAAUGGAGGGAAAGGUCAUGGAAAUCUGUUAUCCGACACGAGGGAGCAGAGCCCACAGAGUCGCCUGAGGAUGUUGGCAUCAUAAUCGAGGGAGUUGAAGUGUUGUAAGAUCUGAGAGAUGUGGCAAGUGGGUACAGUCGUGUUUGGCGUCAUCUACAGUUUAAACCUCAGCUACCCCAAAGACCGGAGAUACAUGUUUGGAUUUUUUCAAAAAGUUUUAAUGGAUUUGGAUGGCAACAGACUUUCCAUAAAGGUGCAGAUCUUCAAGAACCGACUACAUGAGUAAUCCCAACUGCAGUACACAACUGACUGAGGUGACUAUUGCAUUUAAAACUGAGAAAACUUUUUUUACAUGUAUUUUCCUAAGCAGAGAAUUUGUUCUGCCUCUCUCCCAGGAAACAAUUUGGACAUGGACUUGCAGCUAUAAACUCCGAUUGAUUAUACAAACUGGUGAAACUGUGAUGGGAGUUACUGGUUCUUAUAGUUGUUUUAUUAUGUUGAGCAUUACAACAUUUGGUAUGCGUUUUGGUUGUUGUUUGUUUUUAACCCCGAAAUGGUAAAUGUUUCUGCAGAGAAGUUUGUCGUUCAAAUAGAAAACUCAUUUGCUCUUUUUCAAUUUUUUAAAAAAUUUUUAUGUUCUUAUGUAUUAUCUGAUG
ensembl:lncRNA